rnacentral:tRNA from 1 species
GCCCAGGUAGCUCAGUUGGUAGAGCAAAGGACUGAAAAUCCUUGUGUCGGCGGUUCGAAUCCGUCUCUGGGCACCA